GGUAGCUCAGUGGUAGAGUGCUUGCCUAGCAUACAUGAAAUCUUGGGUUCAAUUCCUGAGUACCA
rnacentral:tRNA from 1 species